rnacentral:rRNA from 1 species
AUUGAACGCUGGCGGCAUGCCUUACACAUGCAAGUCGAACGGCAGCACGGGAGCUUGCUCCUGGUGGCGAGUGGCGAACGGGUGAGUAAUAUAUCGGAACGUACCCUAGAGUGGGGGAUAACGCAGCGAAAGCUGCGCUAAUACCGCAUACGAUCUACGGAUGAAAGUGGGGGAUCGCAAGACCUCAUGCUCAUGGAGCGGCCGAUAUCUGAUUAGCUAGUUGGUGGGGUAAAGGCCUACCAAGGCAUCGAUCAGUAGCUGGUCUGAGAGGACGACCAGCCACACUGGAACUGAGACACGGCCCAGACUCCUACGGGAGGCAGCAGUGGGGAAUUUUGGACAAUGGGCGCAAGCCUGAUCCAGCAAUGCCGCGUGCAGGAUGAAA